AUCUGAAUUGGACUUGGUCCUACUAAGAUACGAUCUCUGCUGAACCAUGCUUGUUGAUCUACGCAUGAUUAACCAGAACAAUAUGGGUGCUUUGCAUUGCUGGUGUUGAGCAUCCAUCACUGCGAUAUCAAAUCACAAUAUUUACUUGCAGGUUUUCAAGUCCCAGCGAGGACAGAUCAAUUGAUUAGUUCCGAUUACCUAUUGGUGGAAACAAUCAUGUGUUUGGGCUUAAAAUCAUGACUUGCUUUAACCGAUCACAGGGAAAAGAGAUCGCGGCAACCCAACCAAGCCUGAUUUACAAUGUGCGUCGGUAUAAAGCUUGUGGUUAUGUCAAGUAAAAA
rnacentral:lncRNA from 1 species